rnacentral:rRNA from 1 species
UACGGAGGGGGCUAGCGUUGUUCGGAAUUACUGGGGCGUAAAGCGCACGUAGGCGGCUUUGUAAGUUAGAGGUGAAAGCCCGGGGCUCAACUCCGGAAUUGCCUUUAAGACUGCAUCGCUCGAAUUGUGGAGAGGUAAGUGGAAUUCCGAGUGUAGAGGUGAAAUUCGUAGAUAUUCGGAAGAACACCAGUGGCGAAGGGCGGCUCACUG